GGGUUGUGAGGUUAAGCGACUAAGCGUACACGGUGGAUGCCCUGGCAGUCAGAGGCGAUGAAGGACGUGCUAAUCUGCGAUAAGCGUCGGUAAGGUGAUAUGAACCGUUAUAACCGGCGAUUUCCGAAUGGGGAAACCCAGUGUGUUUCGACACACUAUCAUUAACUGAAUCCAUAGGUUAAUGAGGCGAACCGGGGGAACUGAAACAUCUAAGUACCCCGAGGAAAAGAAAUCAACCGAGAUUCCCCCAGUAGCGGCGAGCGAACGGGGAGCAGCCCAGAGCCUGAAUCAGUGUGUGUGUUAGUGGAAGCGUCUGGAAAGGCGCGCGAUACAGGGUGACAGCCCCGUACACAAAAAUGCACAUGCUGUGAGCUCGAUGAGUAGGGCGGGACACGUGGUAUCCUGUCUGAAUAUGGGGGGACCAUCCUCCAAGGCUAAAUACUCCUGACUGACCGAUAGUGAACCAGUACCGUGAGGGAAAGGCGAAAAGAACCCCGGCGAGGGGAGUGAAAAAGAACCUGAAACCGUGUACGU
rnacentral:rRNA from 1 species